AAAUGAAGGCUAUGCUGCUGAAAGAAUACAUAAAAUCAUGCACUGGGUUUAGAACACAUCUGUCCUCUUUAGCCUGAUACCUCAGUGUUGAAUAGAUCACAACACCCGUUUUAAGGGAAGAUCAGUGCUUCUCUAUUCAAAUGAAAUGUCUUGUGGGUAUGACACAGAUAUUUUGCAUAAUUAAUGCCAUGUCCUCUUUAUGCUGACAAGGAAAUGUAGAUAUUCAGUAGUGGAGGUAGUGUGCAAAAUUGAUGAGCUACCUGUGGCCAUCGCAACUUUGCAACUGCUGUGAUGCAAUCAGCUACAAUACAAUUUCUUGAAUCUGAAGAUGUGAUGAAAAACAGG
rnacentral:lncRNA from 1 species